GNAUCNCGNANUUCAUGGAUACCGUGGUAAUUCUAGAGCUAAUACAUGCUGCACAGACCCGACUUCCGAGGGAGGGUUGUAUUUAUUAGAUAUCAAGCCAAUAGUCCCCUAAUCAGGGACUGUUGUGGUGAAUCACAGUAACUGAUCGAAUCCCGGGUCAGCCGGGAUAAAUCAUUCAAGUUUCUGCCCUAUCAGCUUUCGAUGGUAGUGUAUUGGACUACCAUGGCAGUCACGGGUAACGGAGAAUUAGGGUUCGGUUCCGGAGAAGGGAGCCUGAGAAACGGCUACCACAUCUACGNAAGGCAGCAGGCGCGUAAAUUACCCAAAUCCUGACUCAGGGAGGUAGUGACAAGAAAUAACAACCUGGGGGCCGUCACG
rnacentral:rRNA from 1 species